rnacentral:rRNA from 1 species
UACGUAGGGACCAAGCGUUGUUCGGAUUUACUGGGCGUAAAGGGCGCGUAGGCGGCAAUUCAAGUCAUCUGUGAAAUCUCCGGGCUUAACUCGGAACGGUCAGAUGAUACUGCUUUGCUAGAGUGCGGAAGGGGCAAUCGGAAUUCUCGGUGUAGCGGUGAAAUGCGUAGAUAUCGAGAGGAACACCUGAGGUGAAGACGGGUUGCUGGGCCGACACGUGACGCUGAGUGCGCGAAAGCCAGGGGAGCAAACGGG